rnacentral:rRNA from 1 species
GACGAACGCUGGCGGCGUGCCUAAUACAUGCAAGUCGAACGAGCGGCGGACGGGUGAGUAAUGUCUGGGAAACUGCCUGAUGGAGGGGGAUAACUACUGGAAACGGUAGCUAAUACCGCAUACCAUCGGAUGUGCCCAGAUGGGAUUAGCUAGUAGGUGGGGUAAAGGCUCACCUAGGCGACGAUCCCUAGCUGGUCUGAGAGGAUGACCAGCCACACUGGAACUGAGACACGGUCCAGACUCCUACGGGAGGCAGCAGUGGGGAAUAUUGGACAAUGGGCGAAAGCCUGAUCCAGCCAUGCCGCGUGUGUGAAGAAGGUCUUCGGAUUGUAAAGCACUUUAAGUUGGGAGGCGUUACCAACAGAAUAAGCACCGGCUAACUUCGUGCCAGCAGCCGCGGUAAUUC